rnacentral:lncRNA from 1 species
GGCCCUGUGAUUCCAGAGGUCCCCUUUGAACCAUCGAAGCCCCCAGUCAUUGAGGGGCUUAGCCCCACUGUUUACAGGAAUCCAGAGAGUUUCAAGGAAAAGUUCCUUCACAAGACCCACGAGAACCCGGUGGUACCCAUAGGUUGCCUGGCCACGGCGGCCGCCCUCACCUACAGCCUCUAUUCCUUCCACCGGGGCAACAGCCAGCGCUCUCAGCUCAUGAUGUGCACCUGGAUCGCCGCCCAGGGUUUCACGGUCACAGCCAUCUUGCUGGGUCUAGCUGUCACCGCUAUGAAGUCUCAACCCUGA